AACAGAGUCUCCGUGGAAACACAGACAGGCAGCAGGUGAUAGCAGUUCCCACCCAGAGGACAGCAAGCACAGUGAAUGUCUGAUGCCGUGGGAUGGUGCUUCAACCUUGAAGAUGCCCUGAGAGUUCUGCAGCCCCAGGAGCAGACUGUGAAUCCUUACAGCCCCUCCCCCAUCACCACUCACCCUCCUGCUCCCAGGGCCAAGGUGUGAUCUGAGAAGGCAGGGGAUGGUGACAGAUUUCUCUGUACCCUCAGACAACGACAUAAACUUCCUCCGUUUUCUCAUCUGUAAGGCAAAGACCAUGUCUACCAUGUGGGACUGAUGAAGACAUAAGUGACCAGGUUCACCAUAAAGUACUGAGCUCAGUGGCGGCGGCACAGAAAACAGAACAGAACAGAAUUGAACACAGUGGUUUUGGCAAACAAGUCAGCAUGCAAACGGGAAUAAGAGCCCUGGGACUUUCCUAAGACAAACAAAGG